UACGAAGGGGGCUAGCGUUGCUCGGAAUUACUGGGCGUAAAGGGCGCGUAGGCGGCACUGUUAGUCAGGCGUGAAAUUCCUGGGCUCAACCUGGGGGCUGCAUUUGAUACGUAUGGGCUUGAGUGGGGAAGAGGGUCGUGGAAUUCCCAGUGUAGAGGUGAAAUUCGUAGAUAUUGGGAAGAACACCGGUGGCGAAGGCGGCGACCUGGUCCUUUUACUGACGCUGAGGCGCGAAAGCGUGGGGAGCAAACAGG
rnacentral:rRNA from 1 species